AGGCCUGUUCGAUGAAGCACCAACAAGCCCCACAGCUUUGUUGCUUUUGCUAUGCCCACUGGGACCAGUGAGAGAAGUGCGGUCUUAUCCCUGGGAGGAGAGAAAGAGCCAGCAUCUGCAGGCGCCCACAGGAUGUCAAGAUCCUCUGCUGAUGUCACUUGGGACCACCUUGCAGAUAGACUACUUCAUUCCUUGUGACUGAGCCUGCUUGUGAGACAGCCCAGCCCAAGAGAAGCAGCCAUAUCCUUGUGCCUGCAGGAACCAACAUCGUCUGUGCUAGGUUAUGUGUUUACUCAUUUGCUUACAUCCUCCAUUCAUUCAUUCAUUUUGUCAGCCCACAACAUUUACUGAGCAUUGGCUAUGUACCAGAAAUUGAGAAUUUCAUACUCAUAUAGAGAAGGGGAAACUGAGGCUCUGAGAUAAACAUACACUUCUUCAAAGUCCCCCAAGAAGCGAGGGACCAAAACUAGAAUAUAAAGUCAAAUGCAUCUUAUGCCUAAUCUUACUACUGGUUGUUUCUCAACGGGCCAUGCUUGUAAUUACCUGGAGAGUCUUAUGCAAAUACAGACGUCUGAACCCCA
rnacentral:lncRNA from 1 species